rnacentral:rRNA from 1 species
CCUGCAGUCGACGGCAGCCAGAGGAGCUUGCUCCUUGGGUGGCGAGUGGCGGACGGGUGAGGAAUACGUCGGAAUCUGCCUAUUUGUGGGGGAUAACGUAGGGAAACUUACGCUAAUACCGCAUACGACCUUAGGGUGAAAGCGGAGGACCUUCGGGCUUCGCGCAGAUAGAUGAGCCGACGUCGGAUUAGCUAGUUGGCGGGGUAAAAGCCCACCAAGGCGACGAUCCGUAGCUGGUCUGAGAGGAUGAUCAGCCACACUGGAACUGAGACACGGUCCAGACUCCUACGGGAGGCAGCAGUGGGGAAUAUUGGACAAUGGGCGCAAGCCUGAUCCAGCCAUGCCGCGUGUGUGAAGAAGGCCUUCGGGUUGUAAAGCACUUUUGUCCGGAAAGAAAAGCACUGGAUCAAUACCCUGGUGUUAUGACGGUACCGGAAGAAUAAGCACCGGCUAACUUCGUGCCAGCAGCCGCGGUAAUACGAAGGGUGCAAGCGUUACUCGGAAUUACUGGGCGUAAAGCGUGCGUAGGUGGUUU